rnacentral:rRNA from 1 species
UAAUUGAAGAGUUUGAUCAUGGCUCAGAUUGAACGCUGGCGGUAGGCUUAACACAUGCAAGUCGUGCGAGAAAGUAUCUUCGGAUAUGAGUAGAGCGGCGAACGGGUGAGUAACGCGUAGGAAUGUACCUAGUAGAAGGGGAUAGCCCGAGGAAACUCGGAUUAAUACCGUAUACCUCCUUCGGGAGAAAGAGGGCCUCUCUUUGAAGCUUUCGCUACUAGAUCAGCCUGCGUAAGAUUAGCUUGUUGGUGAGGUAAUGGCUCACCAAGGCUACGAUCUUUAGCUGGUCUGAGAGGACGAUCAGCCACAUUGGGACUGAGACACGGCCCAGACUCCUACGGGAGGCAGCAGUGGGGAAUAUUGGACAAUGGGCGCAAGCCUGAUCCAGCCAUACCGCGUGUGUGAAGAAGG